CCAGCGGCCUCUGCCUCCAGCGGCCUACCGACGCCCGGCAUCCACGCCGCUCCGACGCCCGCGCCACCAGCGGCGGCAGCGCCUGCGCCAGCGGCAGCGGCAGCGGGCGGCGCGGCUCUCCGGCCACAACGACGGCCAUAGCAGACGGAAGAGAUUCUGGCCCUCCGAAGCUAGCUGCUACGAGCGUUAAGUUUCAGGUCGCCUCCACGUCUGGUGCGGCAGCAUCGAGUGAUCGUAGCGCAAGAACAGCAACAGCAGACGUAAGAGAGACUUCGCGCUGAGGGGGGCGGCAGGAUGAGCGGCGG